GACGAACGCUGGCGGCGUGCUUAACACAUGCAAGUCGAACGGAAAGGCCCUGCUUUUGUGGGGUGCUCGAGUGGCGAACGGGUGAGUAACACGUGAGUAACCUGCCCUUGACUUUGGGAUAACUUCAGGAAACUGGGGCUAAUACCGGAUAGGAGCUCCUGCUGCAUGGUGGGGGUUGGAAAGUUUCGGCGGUUGGGGAUGGACUCGCGGCUUAUCAGCUUGUUGGUGGGGUAGUGGCUUACCAAGGCUUUGACGGGUAGCCGGCCUGAGAGGGUGACCGGGCACAUUGGGACUGAGAGACGGCCCAGACGCGUACGGGAGGCAGCAGUGGGGAAUAUUGCACAAGGGGCGGAAGCCUGAUGCAGCAACGCCGCGUGCGGGAUGACGGCCUUCGGGUUGUAAACCGCUUUCGCCUGUGACGAAGCGUGAGUGACGGUAAUGGGUAAAGAAGCACCGGCUAACUACGUG
rnacentral:rRNA from 1 species